rnacentral:rRNA from 1 species
GGGCCCGCACAAGCGGUGGAGCAUGUGGUUUAAUUCGAUGAUACGCGAGGAACCUUACCAGGGCUUAAAUGUAGUGGGACAGGUCUAGAGAUAGACCCUUCUUCGGACUCAUUACAAGGUGCUGCAUGGUUGUCGUCAGCUCGUGCCGUGAGGUGUCAGGUUAAGUCCUAUAACGAGCGCAACCCCUAUCGUUAGUUGCCAGCGAGUAAUGUCGGGAACUCUAACGAAACUGCCAGUGCAAACUGUGAGGAAGGUGGGGAUGACGUCAAAUCAUCACGGCCCUUACGUCCUGGGCUACACACGUGCUACAAUGGCCGGUACAGAGAGCAGCCACUUCGCAAGAAGGAGCGAAUCUAUUAAAACCGGUCUCAGUUCGGAUUGUUGUCUGCAACUCGACAACAUGAAGUCGGAAUCGCUAGUAA